GCCAGGUGUGGUGGCUCACGCCUGUAAUCCCAGCACUUCGGGAGGCUGAGGCAGGUGGAUCACCUGAGGUCAGGAGUUUGAGACCAGCCUGGCCAACAUGGUGAAACCCUGUCUCUA
ensembl:misc_RNA Metazoa_SRP Metazoan signal recognition particle RNA